rnacentral:rRNA from 1 species
CUGCUGCCUUCCGUAGGAGUCUGGUCCGUGUCUCAGUACCAGUGUGGGGGGCCUUCCUCUCAGAACCCCUACGCAUCGUCGCCUCGGUGGGCCGUUACCCCGCCGACUAGCUAAUGCGCCGCAUGCCCAUCCGUGGCCGGGAUUGCUCCCUUUGGCGGCCUUGGGAUGUCCCUAGGCCGCGUUACGCGGUAUUAGACGGAAUUUCUCCCGAUUAUCCGGCUGUGGCAGGCAGGUUGCAUACGUGUUACUCACCCGUGCGCCGGUCG